UCCCCUGUUUUACAAAAACAUAGUUUAAGGAAAUAAUCUUAAAUGAAUUCUGCCCAGUGAUUUUUUUUUAAAUGGCCGCAGUACCUUGACUGUGCUAAGGUAGCAUAAUCAAUUGGCUUCUAAUUAAAGUCUGGAAUGAAAGGAAAUAUGAAGUAAUUCUAUCUUAAAGGAUUUUUUUUGAAUUUAUUUAAAUGAUGAAAAUAUCAUUUUAUAGAAAAAAGACGAGAAGACCCUUAGAGUUUUGAUAUUUAUAUAUUUUUGUUGGGGCGACAGGUAAACAUAUAACUUUACGAAUUAUCAUUGAUCGAUUUUUUAUAAGAAUAAUAAAACUACCUUAGGGAUAACAGCAUUAUAUUUUUUUUUAUGAUUGUGACCUCGAUGUUGGACUAGGAACUUUAUGGCUAGCCGUCAAAAAAGAUUGCUCGUCGCUCAUUUUCCU
rnacentral:rRNA from 1 species